rnacentral:tRNA from 1 species
UCCCUCAAAGCUAAGUCAGUAAAGAAUCUGCCUGCAAUGCAGGAGACCCAGGUUCAAUCCCUGGGUUGGGAA